rnacentral:miRNA from 1 species
UGGAGCAAGAAGAUUUCAGGCUGUGACCCUCUUGAGGGAAGCACUUUCUGUUGUCUGAAAAAAAAAAGAAAGUGCUUCCUUUUAGAGGCUUACGGUCUGAGAAAAGCAACGGUGAAGUUG